UGGCUCAGUUGGUAGAGCAUGGUGUGUGCAACGCCAGAGUUGUGGGUUUGAUUCCCAC
rnacentral:tRNA from 1 species